UACGUAGGGGGCUAGCGUUGUCCGGAUUUAUUGGGCGUAAAGAGCGUGUAGGCGGUCAGGUAGGUCUGGUGUGAAAACUCGAGGCUUAACCUCGAGAUGUCAUCGGAAACCAUCUGGCUAGAGUCCGGAAGAGGAGAGUGGAAUUCCUGGUGUAGCGGUGAAAUGCGCAGAUAUCAGGAAGAACACCAAUGGCGAAAGCAGCUCUCUGGGACGGUACUGACGCUGAGACGCGAAAGCGUGGGGAGCGAACAGG
rnacentral:rRNA from 1 species